rnacentral:rRNA from 1 species
AACGAACGCUGGCGGCAGGCUUAACACAUGCAAGUCGAACGACCUGGCUGCUUCGGUCCGCUAUGCUAGUGGCGCACGGGUGAGUAACACCCGGGAAAAUUCCCCUUAGUACGGAAUAACCCAGCGCCACCUUGCCUACUGCCUUAUACGCCCUUCCGGCGAACGAUUUAUCCCUCGAGGAUUAGCCCCGGUCGGAUUAGGUAGCUGGCGAGGUAAUGGCUCACCAAGUCGACGAUCAGUAGCUGGUCUGGGAGGAUGAUCAGGCACACCGGGACUGAGACACGGCCCAGACUCCUGCGGGAAGCAGCAGGGUGGACUAUUGGACAAUGGAGGCAAGCCGGAUCCAGCCAUGCCGCGUGAGUGAAGAAGGCCUUCGGGUUGUAAGGCUCUUUUGACGGGGACGAUGAUGACGGUACCCGGACAAGAAGCCCCGGCAAACUUCGUG